rnacentral:lncRNA from 1 species
AGAUGCUUCCUAUGGGAAUGUGUGUCGUAUUUAUACAGCAUCGUCUUUGAUGUGCUCAAAGAGUUUUGCAGACGGUAUAGACUUCAUCUGCACCACCCAUGAAGCAGGUUGGGAGAAAAGUGAGUCUUGUUUAUGAAUGAGUACAGGAGUGGAAGGAAGGACUGCUCAGAGCCUCACAGUGGGGCUAUGUUCAAAGAUGUGAGGAAAAGGGUCAGUUUCAUGGUGUCUGCAGGGGAAUUUUAACCUCUAAACUUUUGAUUUCCCAGGAUAUGUAGUACUCUGUGACCCCUCUACCCACUUCCAGUUCUUGAAUUUCACCACCAAGUCCACAAUUGCAGAGUGUGCCACAGAGCCUGGAGAUUCGACUCUGACUGGCAGGGCAAAGCCUUGGCUUUGGGACCUGGCCUUGAUGUUUAUGAGGAAGAUGUCUUUGAGAAACUCAAUUGACCUAUUUGACAUUCAGUUUCUUCCUUCAUGAGAAGAAUAGGUAAUCCCUGCCCAACAGAGAUGAUAUGGUAGGGUCCUUAUUAUAGGGUCUGAUGCAUAAUAGGUUCUUAAAAGCUACGUCAGUGAGACUAUACCCUUGAAGGUCAUAGAGGCACAGUGCCAUCUACCUGUCUUCCUCCAUUGAGAUGGAAGAACCUGGCCAUAGGCUUCUAAAGGAAUGAUUCCAGUAAAAACAAAGUCACUAUUAUAAAGUUUUCUUUUUAGGCACCUUCAUUAUAAGGAUGGUAUUGCCAAAUAGUGAACUUUUGAAUGUGGCAAUAGUUAACAGAGUUAAAAAGUAUGUUUGUUAGUGUCCUCUAUCGCUAUGAUGAAACAUUGAAGACAGUCACUUAUCACAGGGAAGGUUGGCUUGGGCUAUGACGAAACAUUGAAGACAGUCACUUAUCACAGGGAAGGUUGGCUUGGGCCAUGACAAAACAUUGAAGACAGUCACUUAUCACAGGGAAGGUUGGCUUGGGCUAUGACGAAACAUUGAAGACAGUCACUUAUCACAGGGAAGGUUGGCUUGGGCCAUGACAAAACAUUGAAGACAGUCACUUAUCACAGGGAGGUUGGCUUGGGCCAUGACGAAACAUUGAAGACAGUCACUUAUCACAGGAAGGUUGGCUUGGGCUUAUAGUUUCAGUCUUUGGUCAUUGGGCUGCUUGGGUUCUGGAUUACAAUGAGGCAGAAAUCAAGGUUUGAGAAGAAAGUGGAGCUGAGUUGCUCAGCUGAUGGUGACUAGGAAGUAGGGGUGGUGGUCAUGGGCAAAAUGUCUCAAUCAAGGGAAUACCCAUAGUGACCUACUUCCUCCCACGGGGCCUCAUCUCUAAAGUUCCCACCAGCGCUGUCUCUGAAUAUGUCACCUGCUGAGGACACGAGGUUUGGGGGACAUUGUGACUCCUAACCACAACAGAGCCAAGCCUGGAGGAUGCUGUGCUCUUUGUACAGAAGUGGACCAGUUUGCUGAGGACCAGUGGCCACGGUGAGGCAGGAUUGUAAUACAGUUCGUUCUGAGCUGAACCAUCUCCAGUGGGAGACAGAUAAAGUCCCAAGUUCCUAGGACGUGCUACUGUGUGACAGGCAUCAACCUCCCUUCUGAAGCACACAUUUACCUAAGAAAGCCAGUGACAAGCAUAGCAGAGUUAUCAAUGACUGCAAAGUACUCAUUGUGCUCCUAGUGAGGGCCGUGUCAGCUAUCACAGACUGAAUAGACUUCUGACCUUGGAAAAGCAAGUGCGCAGGUCAAAGCCAUUUCUUCCAAGAUGAGGCUUUAAAGUGCAAAUCCUGGUAUGCGAUGACAAUGCUGGAAGGUUCUCUGGCCCCAGUGGCCCAUCUCCCAGAGCAUCUGUAGUCUUCAGACUUCUUGGUUCUAGAACAUGCUUGGCAGCCAUCCUGUGGUAUGUUUCUGCUCAAGCAAAAUUUGCCUUUAGCACCAGUGUCUCACUCGGUGCUUCUGCUGUUCCCUAGCACCUGUCUUAUUUUCAGGGAACAGCCAUUGUUAGAGGAGAGGUCAAAGAGCUGAGCUGCAGUGACUUUGUGGGUGUGCCCCAGAAAGAUCAUUCUUUCUACUGACAAAGCAAACAAAUCUUAAGUAGUGAACUGUGAAAUGGUUAUGAUGUUGAUGGAUGCCACCUCACCUGAAUCAAUAUGUCGAGGAAGAAUGACAGUUGGGCCAAUGAAUAUAGAACUCUGCUUGGAUUUAGCUGAGCAAAUAUCCCGGGAUUGUGGUGUGUGCUGUUGGGGAAUCCUGGGACUGCGCUCAGAAGCCUCUUUAUAAGUGAGCUCAAUGGCCACACUGUGCAUCCGCGUACCAGUGGCCCAGUGUAACGAGGAGAGAGCCUCCUCUUGUGGAGGUACUUCAGCCAGGGGAGACCCAUGGAGAAGUCUGCCCAGCCGAUUGGAUGUCAUAGACCCUAUGACCAAGACAAGUUCAGCUGCUUUCAGAAGUCCUUCCAAAACCUGCGUGCUAUGUAUCUGUCACUUCUCCAGUCAGAACAGAAGCAUAGCUGGAAACCUUUUAGAAGUUCAAAGAAGCCCAUAGAUGGACAGAGAGUGACUCCAACCCUGCUUGUGGUAUCCAUGGUACUCUGAACGUUUUACUUCUGUUGUAUUGGCUGAGACUUGUACAGGUGGACAGCUGCUAAUGUAGAAAUUCCUUUUUUUUUUUUUUUUUGCAUUUCAAGUCACUAUUUGAUAACUUAAAAAUAUGUGUACAUUUAAAACAUUAUACCUACUCUUCUCUUUCAAUUCCUUCCAGAUGCCCCCUUCCAGCAUGUUCCUUCCUUACUUUGUGUCUCUUUUGGUAGAAGUAUCAGUUCUUACUGGAGACAUUUUGAUAGCUGGUGAGCUCCCACUGAAUGCCUUACUACUUAGUCCCUGAUUUCUGAGGGUAAAUGAAACAUACUUCUUAGCUUUAUCUAAAACAUCAUCUAUACCGAAGCAACCAAACUUGUGAGUAACGGUCCUGAAAUCUCUUGAAUUUCUUAGAAUUUUCUUUGAGAUGGUUUUGCAUUGUUGGUGAGAUCAUAGUUUUAUCAUUAUAUUAUUAAAGUCAACCAAGUAUGUUGACUCUCAGAUGAAUGUACGUGUGGUGCAAGCAAAUGACUCACACCAUUGAGAACCUGCA